AGGAUUGAAUUGUAAAAAGAGAUAUAAGUUUUGUUAUAGUAGGGACUAAAUUGACUAAAUUGUAGAAUUAGUAUUUUAUGAAGGAAGUUAAAUGUUAAAACUUGUUAAAGAUGGGUUAGAAUGAAAAUAUGAGAUUGGUUUUGAAGAAAAAGAAUUAGCUAUGGCUUAAGGACUAAAUUGGAAUUUUUGUAAAAGUUACAUGGAAAAUAUAAGAGUGUGUU
rnacentral:lncRNA from 1 species